rnacentral:rRNA from 1 species
AUUGAACGCUGGCGGCAGGCCUAACACAUGCAAGUCGAGCGGAGCGGCGGACGGGGGAGUAAUAUCUAGGAAUAUGCUUGGUUGUGGGGGAUAACGUCAGGUAACGGGCGCUAAUACCGCAUCCUAGUAGAUGAGGCGAGUUGGGAUUAGCUAGUUGUUGGGGUAAAGGCCUACCAAGGAGACGAUCCGUAACUGGUCUGAGAGGAUGAUCAGUCACACUGGAGCUGAGACACGGUCCAGAAUCCUACGGGAGGCACCAGUGGGGAAUAUUCGACAAUGGGCGAAAGCCUGAUCCAGCCAUGCCGCGUGUGUGAAGAAGGUCUUCGGAUUGUAAAGCACUUUAAGUUGAGAGGCGUUACCAACAGAAUAAGCACCGGCUAACUUCGUGCCAGCAGCCGCGGUAAUAC